rnacentral:rRNA from 1 species
UGCCAGUAGCCGCGGUAAUACGGAGGGGGUUAGCGUUGUUCGGAAUUACUGGGCGUAAAGCGCACGUAGGCGGACUGGAAAGUUGGGGGUGAAAUCCCGGGGCUCAACCCCGGAACUGCCUUGUAAACUCCUGGUCUUGAGUUCGAGAGAGGUGAGUGGAAUUCCGAGUGUAGAGGUGAAAUUCGUAGAUAUUCGGAGGAACACCAGUGGCGAAGGCGGCUCACUGGCUCGAUACUGACGCUGAGGUACGAAAGCGUGGGGAGCAAACAGGAUUAGAUA